rnacentral:rRNA from 1 species
CACGUAGGGCGCGAGCGUUGUCCGGAAUUAUUGGGCGUAAAGAGCUCGUAGGCGGCCUGUUGCGUCCGCUGUGAAAGCCCGGGGCUUAACCCCGGGUCUGCAGUGGAUACGGGCAGGCUAGAGGUAGGUAGGGGAGAAUGGAAUUCCCGGUGUAGCGGUGAAAUGCGCAGAUAUCGGGAGGAACACCGGUGGCGAAGGCGGUUCUCUGGGCCGAUACUGACGCUGAGGAGCGAAAGCGUGGGGAGCGAACAGG